GCAGGCUGCAACUCGCCUGCAUGAAGUCGGAAUUGCUAGUAAUCGCAGAUCAGCAUGCUGCGGUGAAUACGUUCCCGGGCCUUGUACACACCGCCCGUCACACCAUGGGAGUCGGUAACACCCAAAGUUGGUAGCCUAACCGCAAGGAGGGCGCCGCCUAAGGUGGGAUUGGUGACUGGGGUGAAGUCGUAACAAGGUACC
rnacentral:rRNA from 1 species